AGCGCAGUGACAGUACAGUAUCAUAGCCAAUGAGGUUUAUCCGAGAUGUGAUUAUUGCUAAUUGAAACCUUUUCCCAAUACCCCACCAAGAUGACUUGAAAUAUAGUCAGCAUUGGCAAUUUUUGACAGUCUUUACAGAGA
rnacentral:snRNA from 1 species